rnacentral:misc_RNA from 1 species
AGCAGCCGCGGUAAUUCCAGCUCCAAUAGCGUAUAUUAAAGUUGUUGCAGUUAAAAAGCUCGUAGUUGAAUUUCGGGAUCAGUACGCCGGUCGUGCCUUCGGUAUGCACUGGUGUCACUGGUUUCUCCCUUCUGAAGAACCAUCAUGCCAUUCAGUUGGUGUGGCGGGGAAUCAGGACUGUUACUUUGAGAAAAUUAGAGUGUUUAAAGCAGGCUCGCGCUUGAAUACAUUAGCAUGGAAUAAUGAAAUAGGACGUUUGACCCUAUUUUGUUGGUUUCUAGGAUCGACGUAAUGAUUAAUAGGGAUAGUUGGGGGCAUUAGUAUUCAAUUGUCAGAGGUGAAACUCUUGGAUUUAUUGAAGACUAACUACUGCGAAAGCAUUUGCCAAGGAUGUUUUCAUUAAUCAAGAACGAAAGUUAGGGGAUCGAAGACGAUCAGAUACCGUCGUAGUCUUAACCAUAAACUAUGCCGACUAGGGAUCGGAUGAUGUUAAUUUUUUAAUGACUCAUUCC